rnacentral:rRNA from 1 species
GUGAGGAAUUUUCCGCAAUGGUCGCAAGACUGACGGAGCAACGCCGCGUGCAGGAGGACGCUUUUCGGAGUGUAAACUGCUUUUCUGUGGGACGAGGAUGGACGGUACCACAGGAAGAAGCCCCGGCUAACUACGUGCCAGCAGCCGCGGUAAUACGUAGGGGGCGAGCGUUGUCCGGAGUUACUGGGCGUAAAGGGCACGCAGGCGGUGCUGCGCGUUUCGCGUGACAGCGGGUGGCUUAACUGCCCGAGGAUGCGAAAGACGGCAGGACUUGAGGGCCAGAGAGGGACACGGAAUUCCGGGUGGAGUGGUGAAAUGCGUAGAGAUCCGGAGGAACACCGAAGGCGAAGGCAGUGUCCUGGCUGGUGACUGACGCUGAGGUGCGAAAGCCAGGGGAGCGAACGGGAUUAGAAACCCUUGUAGUCC